rnacentral:lncRNA from 1 species
AUGUUUAAUAGGCUUAUCCUUAAUCCCUCCUUAUUAUCCAACAUAUUAUCCAACGUUCUGCCGGCCCGUUUAUGUUGGAUAAGUGAGACUCUACUGUACUGUAUUUACAAAUUUACCACUAAAAUAUCACAAUGAAUUUAAAACACUGACUACAAAAACAUUGAUUAUGAAAAGGCAGACUGCGUUGGAUAAUCCAGAACAUUGUAUAAGCGAAUGUUGGAUAAGUGAGAUUCUUCUUUAAUAUGAAAUAAUUACUGGGAUAGAAUAAUGCAGAACAAUAUAAUCUCUAAAACCAGGACAGUAAAUAAACAGGGGAAUUCCACACAGGAAACAAUCAGGGCCAGCUAACACCUCCCAACAAAGUAUUCCCAUCAUCAAAGUCUGGCAAAUCCUGUUUUCUCAGGGACACAGACAGUAGAAGCACAUAAAAUAUCGCAAACAACAUCACUCUGAAAACAAGGGUAUUCCAGACAGGAAACAAUCAGGGCCAGCUAACAUCUCCCAACAAAGUAUUCCCAUCAUCAAAGUCUGGAAAAUCCUCUGUUUUCUCAGGGCCACAGACAGUAGAAGCACAUAAAAUAUCGCAAACAACACCACUCUGAAAACAAGGGAAUUCCAGACAGGAAACAAUCAGGGCCAGCUAACACCUCCUAACAAAAAAUUCACUCAGGGAGGAAACAGCCAGGCUUUAAAGGUGCAAGGCCAUUACAUCCUAAUCAUUUUUCCUAAUUGCAGCAUUCAUACUUGCCUCCAACAAACAAAAAAACCAAUCAGAAAUAUUGUAUAUUCACAACCUUUAGGAAAUAAUAUCCCCUGAUGGCGCAGCGUGUUAAAGCGCUGAGCUGCUGAACUUCUGGACUGAAAGGCCGCAGGUUUGAAUUGGGGGAGCGGAGAGAGCCCCCACUGUUAGCUCCAGCUUCUGCCAACCCAGAAGUUCGAAAACAUGCAAAUGUGAGUGCAUCGAUAGGUACUGCUCCGGCGGGAAGGUAACGCCGCUCCAUGUAGUCAUCCCAUAUGACCUUGGAGGAGUCUACGGACAACGCCGGCUCUUUGGCUUAGAAAUGGAGAUGAGCACCAACCUCCAGAGUAAGACACGACUGGACUUAAUGUCUGGGGAAAACCUUUACCCUUGACCUUAACUACCACCAAUUCCUCAAUACUUUAUUUCCCAUACCACCAGACUUCGGCACAGCAACGCGUGGCCGGGCACAGCUAGUUAUUUUAAAAAGGGUUUGUUGUCAAAUGUGUAAUGCGAGGUGGUUGCGGCUAUGAAAAU